AAGAAUGAAAGGAGAAGCAAAGAAUGCAACUGAGCAAUGAAGAGCGAAGGUAACCAAAUAAAUUUGAUUUAUAUUCAAUUCGAAUCUGGAUACUCUAUUUAUUUUAAUCCUUUUAAUUAAUGAGUAGAGCGAAAUUAUUAUCCAUUACCAUUAUUAAGAUUCAAACUUUGAAUUUUCAUAAAUUUCAUAUUGAUUAAAUCAACAACGUGAAUGAGAAAAUCUUAAUUAAAAUGUGUUCCCCGCAUGAAUUUAAAUAUAUUUGCUAUAUUCCCGUAAUAUUAUCUAAUGGCAAAAUCUCAGGAUACGUAGCAUUAAGAUCAUAGUGUAGAGUAUUUGUUUAGAAUUGUCAUACUAGUUAUUUGGUGUCAUUGAAUCAAAGGUUUCCUUUUCUCACUGCAGGUUGGAGCAGCUAAAAACUCUAACUUGGAAGUCUCUUCGAUUCUAUAUGAAGCUCUGAUGAAAGUUGAACAAAGGCAGAAGAGAGUCAAGUCAACUUUUCUUGUUUCCUUGAAAUUUAGAUUUAGUAUCUUUCAGCUUUCUAACCCUUUUCUUUCAAAUGCAAUAAAAUCUUCCAUCUAAUACAUGCACCAAAGAAGAAGUUAACAUCAGGUUUCUCCAUUUAAUUUUCUAAGUAUGCUAUUGUGUUCGUUAAUAUUACUUUUCUAGGAGGUCCCUUUG
rnacentral:lncRNA from 1 species